GACAGAGGGUGCUAGCGUUGUUCGGAAUUACUGGGCGUAAAGGGCGCGUAGGCGGCUCGUUUAGUCGGGUGUGAAAUCCCAAGGCUCAACCUUGGAACUGCAUUCGAUACUGGCGGGCUAGAGACCGGAAGAGGUGGGUGGAAUACCCAGUGUAGAGGUGAAAUUCGUAGAUAUUGGGUGGAACACCGGUGGCGAAGGCGGCUCACUGGUCCGGUUCUGACGCUGAGGCGCGAAAGCCAGGGGAGCAAACGGG
rnacentral:rRNA from 1 species